AACAAACGCUGGCGGCGUGCCUAACUCAUGCAAGUCGAACGUGAAAGUUGGCUUCGGCCGAUGAGUAAAGUGGCGCACGGGUGAGUAACGCGUGGAUAAUCUACCCCUCAGUUGGGAAUAACUCAUCGAAAGGUGAGCUAAUACCGAAUAAUACUGCCUGACCACGGUCAGGUAGUCAAAGAUAGCCUCUUCUUGCAAGCUUUCGCUGAAGGAUGCGUCCGCGUACCAUUAGCUAGUUGGUAGGGUAAGGGCCUACCAAGGCGACGAUGGUUAGCGGGUCUGAGAGGAUGAUCAGCCACACUGGAACUGAGACACGGUCCAGACUCCUACGGGAGGCAGCAGUGAGGAAUCUUGCGCAAUGGGGGAAACCCUGACGCAGCAACGCCGCGUGAGUGAGGAAGGUCUUCGGAUCGUAAAGCUCUGUCGGGUGGAAAGAAAUGUAUGGGGUUAAUAGCCUUCAUACUUGACGGUACCACCAAAGGAAGCACCGGCUAACUCCGUGCCAGCCGCCGCUGUAAAAC
rnacentral:rRNA from 1 species